AGAGUUUGAUCCUGGCUCAGGACGAACGCUGGCGGCGUGCCUAAUACAUGCAAGUCGAACGAACUCUGGUAUUGAUUGGUGCUUGCAUCAUGAUUUACAUUUGAGUGAGUGGCGAACUGGUGAGUAACACGUGGGAAACCUGCCCAGAAGCGGGGGAUAACACCUGGAAACAGAUGCUAAUACCGCAUAACAACUUGGACCGCAUGGUCCGAGCUUGAAAGAUGGCUUCGGCUAUCACUUUUGGAUGGUCCCGCGGCGUAUUAGCUAGAUGGUGGGGUAACGGCUCACCAUGGCAAUGAUACGUAGCCGACCUGAGAGGGUAAUCGGCCACAUUGGGACUGAGACACGGCCCAAACUCCUACGGGAGGCAGCAGUAGGGAAUCUUCCACAAUGGACGAAAGUCUGAUGGAGCAACGCCGCGUGAGUGAAGAAGGGUUUCGGCUCGUAAAACUCUGUUGUUAAAGAAGAACAUAUCUGAGAGUAACUGUUCAGGUAUUGACGGUAUUUAACCAGAAAGCCACGGCUAACUACGUGCCAGCAGCCGCGGUAAUACGUAGGUGGCAAGCGUUGUCCGGAUUUAUUGGGCGUAAAGCGAGCGCAGGCGGUUUUUUAAGUCUGAUGUGAAAGCCUUCGG
rnacentral:rRNA from 1 species